UCUCCAGUGGCGCAGUUGGUUAGCGCAUGGUACUUAAAAUGCCGAGGUCGCGAGUUCGAGCCUCGGCUGGAGAA
rnacentral:tRNA from 1 species